GAGGAAUUGAAGCUAACUAUCUGCAUGUUCAUCUUUCUCUAAUCAUCUUAGCAUUCUAAACAUGAGGCAUAAGGAUCAUGUGGAAAUGGACUCAAGCAAGAAAGGCAAAAGGGUAAAAAGGAGGCAAGGGAACGGACGCAAAAAGGUUGUACGAAUCACGGGCGGUUAUCACGAGGAAUA